ensembl:lncRNA
AUCGGCGUCCAAUGGAGCUGGAUUGAGUUCUGGUUCUGGAUCAGGUCCAGCGCUCACUUUCACAUCACCUUCGCCCUCCCACCCGGACAUAACCAUCAAGUCCGAGUCCUCCUCCGGCCUCCACCUUUCCUCGCCUCCUUCCCUCCUGGCCCCGGCUCUCCUGCUCGAUCCCCUUGCCGCUCUGCACCAGUCGAACAAAGGCGGGCCUCCCCCCGGCCACGCCUCCUCCCUGUCCCCGUCGCCUCGGGCCACCCAGUCCCCCCCGAAGCAGACCCUCUUCUCCCCUUGCGUGGACGUCUUUGAGCCGGGACCUCCCAGCUGGGCGGUCGGCGAGGAGGAGCGGGAGGAGGACGAGGAGGAAGAGGAAGACAUUGGAGCCGACGAGAGCCAGUACCGACAUCGCCGACUCACCGGCGACUCGGGCAUCGAGGUCUGCCGGUGUCGGGUGGAGGAGGAGGAGGAGGAAGAGGAAGAGGAAGAGGAAGAGCUCCGUCCUCGCCAACGAUUCGCCGACGCAGACCCGAGGGCCCGCCCCGAACGGCAGGAAGUAGGCGGGACAGGACCUUUGGCCCUGGUCGUCAAGGAAACGAUCUGGAAAAAAGCCGGGAAAGCCGGUGAGGCAGCGCGUCAUUUCACAGUGCGGUGAGGCGGUUCGGGUGAGUUCUACCUGGGUGGAACAGGUCCGGUCGGGCCCAGAGUCGGGGGUCGUGGUGGAUCGCCCACAUGUUCACCAGAACACGAGUCCCCCGGUGGACAGGGUGACCGCCGAUGCUACGAGAGAGAGAGAGUUCACCAAAUACUCAACAUGUUCUCGCACUUGGGGGCCUCCUGUACCUGCUGUCCGUCAUGGCGCUGUGGGGGAUCAGAACCGGGCUCACGGGGCGGAUCCUCAUGCCCUCGUUGAUGACACAGUCCAGGUAGGGCAGCCGGCCGCGGUCCGCCAUGGACACCGCCCGCUCGCCACCCACCUGCUCGUCCAGCUCCUCCUGAACGCGCUGCUGCACCUGCAGGGGGCGGGGCAUAGGUAGAAGUACUCAUACCACACUCUCAUAUACUACAGUAAAAGUAGAAAUAUCAGAUCUGUUUUAAUCAGAAGUUCUAGUGGUAGUAACAAUAGUAGUAGUAUAGUUGUUGCAGUAAUUAUCAGCAGCUCAGGAUAGUACAGUAGUAGGUAGCAUUAGUAAUAGUAGUACUAGGAAUAGUAGUAGUACUAGUAGUACUCCUACCUCCGGGUGGUGCAGCAGGUACACCAGGAUCCACAGCAGCGUUGUGGAUGUCGUCUCCACGCCGGCGCCGAAGGCCUCGGCCGCCGUCAUGAGGACGUGGUCAUCUGUGAUGCCCUCGUCCUCGCAGCCGGAGGGCGUCUUGCCCUUGAGCAAGGCAUCCAGGAGGUCACGGGGGUCGCCCUCGCUCAGCGAGGCCUGGAUUCAGAUUGCAGGACUUGGUCACCGGUAAAGUUCACAAGUGCAUGUAUGCACAGAUGUAAAGCUACCUUGUGCUCCUCUAGUUUCCGUGACAACAGCCGGUCUCUGACGAGGAUGCAGUCCUUCAGUCUCCUGAGACACCUGUUGGGAAACACCUGGGGGACGAGGGCAGACUGAACCUCUGUCCUAAUGAGGACAGACAUGAGACAUCCACAGUGAGGACAUACCUUCAUCCAGGGGAAGAUGUCCACGAGGCCUCCGGCGGCAAUCGUCUGCACGAUGCCGUCGUUGUACCGCAUGACUUCCUGCAGCUCGGCGUCGCCGUGGCGAUACGUGGCAUUGAAAACCAGCGUGCACACGACGUUGGUAACGGCCCGGGUCACUGCGGCCGUCGGGUCGAAGGGUUGGCGCCCGCCAGACAACAGCUCCGCACACAGGCUGUCCACCGAGGACAUGACUGGAGAGACACGGAACAUAAAAAACACAACUUUAACGAGUCCUUUC